rnacentral:tRNA from 1 species
CUGAAUUAGUUUAAGUAUUUGAAAAAUUAAAUGUUUGGGUCAUUUAGAUUAUUAUUUCAGU